rnacentral:rRNA from 1 species
UGGGGAAUCUUGGACAAUGGGCGCAAGCCUGAUCCAGCCAUGCCGCGUGGAUGAUGAAGGCCUUAGGGUUGUAAAAUCCUUUCGUGGGGGACGAUAAUGACGGUACCCCAAGAAGAAGCUCCGGCUAACUUCGUGCCAGCAGCCGCGGUAAUACGAAGGGGGCUAGCGUUGUUCGGAUUUACUGGGCGUAAAGCGCGUGUAGGCGGGUCGUUAAGUUGGGGGUGAAAGCCCUUGGCUCAACCAAGGAACUGCGUCCGAUACUGUACGGCUUGAGGCUGGUAGGGGGUAGCGGAAUUCCCGGUGUAGCGGUGGAAUGCGUAGAUAUCGGGAGGAACACCGAUGGCGAAAGCGGCUACCUGGGCCAGAUCUGACGCUGAGGCGCGAAAGCUAGGGUAGCAAACGGGAUUAGAUACCCCAGUAGUCCCUGAGCGGGCUGGCAAGGCGCAU